rnacentral:rRNA from 1 species
UACAGAGGUCUCGAGCGUUAGGCGGAAUCACUGGGCUUAAAGCGUGUGUAGGUGGAUGCCUAAGUACCUUGUGAAAUCCCACGGCUUAACCGUGGAACUGCUUGGUAUACUGGGUGUCUUGAGUCACUCAGGGGCGAGCGGAACAAAUGGUGGAGCGGUGAAAUGCGUAGAUAUCGCUUGGAACGCCGAAGGUGAAAACAGGCUGCUGGGGUUGCGCCGACGCUGAGACACGAAAGCCAGGGGAGCAAACGGG